rnacentral:rRNA from 1 species
AAUCCAGACUCCUACGGGAGGCAGCAGUGGGGAAUAUUGGGCAAUGGGCGCAAGCCUGACCCAGCAACGCCGCGUGAAGGAAGAAGGCUUUCGGGUUGUAAACUUCUUUUAAGAGGGACGAAACAAAUGACGGUACCUCUUGAAUAAGCCGCGGCUAACUACGUGCCAGCAGCCGCGGUAAUACGUAGGGAGCGAGCGUUGUCCGGAUUUACUGGGUGUAAAGGGUGCGUAGGCGGCUUGGCAAGUCAGUAGUGAAAUCCAUGGGCUUAACCCAUGAACUGCUAUUGAAACUGUCGAGCUUGAGUGAAGUAGAGGUAGGCGGAAUUCCCGGUGUAGCGGUGAAAUGCGUAGAGAUCGGGAGGAACACCAGUGGCGAAGGCGGCCUACUGGGCUUUAACUGACGCUGAGGCACGAAAGCGUGGGUAGCAAACAGGAUUAGAUACCCCUGUA